UAGGGAAUAUUUCACAAUGGAGGGAACUCUGAUGCAGCAACGCCGCGUGAACGAAGAAGGCUUUCGAGUCGUAAAGUUCUUUUAUAUGGGAACAUAAUGACGGUACCAUAAGAAAAAGCCCCGGCUAACUACGUUCGAGCAGCAGCGGUAAUACGUAGGGGGCUAGCGUUGUCCGGAAUCACUGGGCGUAAAGGGUUCGCAGGCGGAAAUGCAAGUCAGGUGUAAAAGGCAGUAGCUUAACUCCUGUAAGCAUUUGAAACUGCAUAUAUAGAGAAGAGUAGAGGUAAGUGGAAUUUUAAGUUUAGCGGUGAAAUGCGUAGAUAUUAAAAAGAAUACCGGUGGCGAAGGCUAAUUACUGGCCUCAUUCUGACGCUGAGGAACGAAAGCGUGGGUAGCAAACAGG
rnacentral:rRNA from 1 species